rnacentral:rRNA from 1 species
GACGAACGCUGGCGGCGUGCUUAACACAUGCAAGUCGAACGAAGAGCGAUGGAAGCUUGCUUCUAUCAAUCUUAGUGGCGAACGGGUGAGUAACGCGUAAUCAACCUGCCCUUCAGAGGGGGACAACAGUUGGAAACGACUGCUAAUACCGCAUACGAUCUGACCUCGGCAUCGAGGAUAGAUGAAAGGUGGCCUCUACAUGUAAGCUAUCACUGAAGGAGGGGAUUGCGUCUGAUUAGCUAGUUGGAGGGGUAACGGCCCACCCAGGCGAUGAUCAGUAGCCGGUCUGAGAGGAUGAACGGCCACAUUGGGACUGAGACACGGCCCAGACUCCUACGGGAGGCAGCAGUGGGGAAUCUUCCGCAAUGGACGAAAGUCUGACGGAGCAACGCCGCGUGAGUGAUGACGGCCUUCGGGUUGUAAAGCUCUGUUAAUCGGGACGAAAGGCCUUUUUGCGAAUAGUGAGAAGGAUUGACGGUACCGGAAUAGAAAGCCACGGCUAACUACGUG